GAUGAACGCUGGCGGCGUGCCUAAUACAUGCAAGUCGAGCGAAUGGAUUAAGAGCUUGCUCUUAUGAAGUUAGCGGCGGACGGGUGAGUAACACGUGGGUAACCUGCCCAUAAGACUGGGAUGACUCCGGGAAACCGGGGCUAAUACCGGAUAACAUUUUGAACUGCAUGGUUCGAAAUUGAAAGGCGGCUUCGGCUGUCACUUAUGGAUGGACCCGCGUCGCAUUAGCUAGUUGGUGAGGUAACGGCUCACCAAGGCAACGAUGCGUAGCCGACCUGGGAGGGUGAUCGGCCACACUGGGACUGAGACACGGCCCAGACUCCUACGGGAGGCAGCAGUAGGGAAUCUUCCGCAAUGGACGAAAGUCUGACGGAGCAACGCCGCGUGAGUGAUGAAGGCUUUCGGGUCGUAAAACUCUGUUGUUAGGGAAGAACAAGUGCUAGUUGAAUAAGCUGGCACCUUGACGGUACCUAACCAGAAAGCCACGGCUAACUACGUGCCAGCAGCCGCCGUAA
rnacentral:rRNA from 1 species